rnacentral:rRNA from 1 species
AAGGAUUCCCCUAGUAACUGCGAGUGAAGCGGGAAAAGCUCAAAUUUAAAAUCUGGCGGUCUCAGACUGUCCGAGUUGUAAUCUAGAGAAGUGUUAUCCGCGCUGGACCGUGUACAAGUCUCCUGGAAUGGAGCGUCAUAGAGGGUGAGAAUCCCGUCUUUGACACGGACUGCCAGGGCUUUGUGAUGCGCUCUCAAAGAGUCGAGUUGUUUGGGAAUGCAGCUCAAAAUGGGUGGUAAAUUCCAUCUAAAGCUAAAUAUUGGCGAGAGACCGAUAGCGAACAAGUACCGUGAGGGAAAGAUGAAAAGAACUUUGGAAAGAGAGUUAAACAGUACGUGAAAUUGCUGAAAGGGAAACGCUUGAAGUCAGUCGCGUUGGCCAGGGAUCAACCUUGCUCUUGCUGGGUGUACUUUCUGGUUAACGGGUCAACAUCAAUUUUGAUUGUUGGAAAAAGAUCAAGGGAAUGUGGCAUCUUCGGAUGUGUUAUAGCCUUUGGUUGUAUACAACAAUUGGGAUUGAGGAACUCAGCACGCCGAAAGGCCGGGUUUUAACCACGUUCGUGCUUAGGAUGUUGGCAUAAUGGCUUUAAUCGACCCGUCUUGAAACACGGACCAAGGAGUCUAACAUGCCUGCGAGUGUUUGGGUGGAAAACCCGAGCGCGUAAUGAAAGUGAAAGUUGAGAUCCCUGUCGUGGGGAGCAUCGACGCCCGGACCAGAAUUUAUGGACGGUUCCGCGGUAGAGCAUGUAUGUUGGGACCCGAAAGAUGGUGAACUAUGCCUGAAUAGGGUGAAGCCAGAGGAAACUCUGGUGGAGGCUCGUAGCGAUUCUGACGUGCAAAUCGAUCGUCAAAUUUGGGUAUAGGGGC